rnacentral:misc_RNA from 1 species
GCCGAGUUCGGUCGGCAGCCGGCCCGCGGAGGUAUGCGGCGCGUAGAUCAGCCCCAACUGCUCGAGAUCCGACAUCACGUUGCGCACCGAGGCCGGAGACAGCGGCAUCGUGAUAAGGCGCGAGAUGUUGCGUGAACCCACCGGCUCGCCGGUGGCCAGAUAGCUCUCGACGAUCUGGCGGAAGAUAUCCCGCGACCGCUCGUUGAGCUGUGCCAGUCCGGCGUUCGGCGUGAUCAGAUGGCCUAUCGGGUCAUGG